CAGCAGCCACGGUAAUACGAAGGGUGCAAGCGUUACUCGGAAUUACUGGGCGUAAAGCGUGCGUAGGUGGUGGUUUAAGUCCGUUGUGAAAGCCCUGGGCUCAACCUGGGAAUUGCAGUGGAUACUGGGUCACUAGAGUGUGGUAGAGGAUAGUGGAAUUUCCGGUGUAGCAGUGAAAUGCGUAGAGAUCGGAAGGAACAUCUGUGGCGAAGGCGACUAUCUGGGCCAACACUGACACUGAGGCACGAAAGCGUGGGGAGCAAACAGGAUUAGAGACCCCCGUAGUCCCUGUCUCUUAUAA
rnacentral:rRNA from 1 species